AAAAUUAAAUAUCAACUUAGUUCGGGUUUGUACAAGAUUAUGUAGUAUCUGUUUCAUUCAAAUGUGAUUAUAUUUAUUUAAUAGAUAUUAAUCUUAUAAUAAUAAAAUAAUUCAAUCAUUAUGGUAAACAAGUGUGUUUAUGUUGGGUGUCGAACUAGAGCCGAUAAGAAGCUUUCGUCAGGUGUCGGACUACAUCGAUUUCCCAAAUCCUUCAUUCGUAAUUAUAAAUGGAUUAAUAUAACCGGUCACGAAUCCUCAUAGAUACCCUACGUCUAAUUCUGUAGUUUGCUCAUUACAUUUUAAUGAAAGUAUACUUAAACAAAGAAUAAUCCAGCUUCAAACGAUAUGUUGAUUUGAUGAUAGAUGAAGUUUAUACUGGUCAAAGAUUCGAGUUUGCAAGGCGAAAAUGCAAUGGAAAAGUUGAUGGGAAUGUAUGUAAAACAGUUUAAACAUUGAUGAUUUCUUCAUUAACAUCUCGCUACAAGGAUGUAGUUGCCCUCAUCGAAAUGGAUAAGUUGUCAGCAUCUUAUCAAUAUGACAUCAUUAUUAAAAAUUUACAAAUGUUGGAUGAUUUAAGCUUCUAUGUUAUCAGCAUGUCAUUUGACAAUUAUCUAAUUAACAGAAAAAUACUUGUUGUUUAUAUAUGUAAUGGAUGUCUUCCGACUUCAAUAUGGAAUCCAAUAAACUCCAACAAAACAAUAUAUCCUUUUUUCGAUAUGGUACAUAAUUUUAAAAAUUGUGGGUUAAUACUCUACUCACCCCAAGCUGGGUUAUUCCUUCAUUAGAAUUAUAUUAUAUAUUACUUAAAAUUAUUUUACUUACCAAUUUAAGAUUUGGGAAAUCGAUUUAGUCCGACACCUGAAGUAAGUUUCCUAUUGGCUCCAGUUGGACAUCCAAGGUAAACACACUUGUUCACCAUAAUGAAUAAACUAUUUUAUUAUUACAAGAUUAAUAUCUACUAAAUAAAUAUAAUAUCAUUUGAAGGAAACUGA
rnacentral:lncRNA from 1 species